AAGUCGUAACAAGGUCUCCGUUGGUGAACCAGCGGAGGGAUCAUUAUAGAGUUUUCUAAACUCCCAAACCCAUGUGAACUUACCAUUGUUGCCUCGGCAGAGCCUACCCGGUACCUACCCUGGAACUAGCUACCCUGUAGCUACCCAGGAACGGGCUACCCUGUAACGUCCUGCCGGUGGACUUCUAAACUCUUGUUAUUUAUAGUAAUCUGAGCGUCUUAUUUUAAUAAGUCAAAA
rnacentral:misc_RNA from 1 species